rnacentral:rRNA from 1 species
GCGGGGAACCCUCGGACAGUUCGUGAUCUCGUGAGUCUAGCAAAGACUCAUUCCCCUUGUAUCGUUUUUCUUUGUGAAACUAGGCAGUCUAGGAAUAAAAUGAAAAGUUACCGUGCUCGGCUAGGUUUAAGUGGUUUUGAUGGUAUUGAUAGUGUUGGUCUUAGUGGAGGUCUCGCCUUGUAUUGGCAUGAGUCUUUGAGUCUGGAUGUAAAAGAAAUAAAUGAAUGAUAUAUUAAUGCGUAUGUGACGUCUUCGACGUGUGAGCCACCUUUGAGGCUCACUUGCGUCUACGGUGAACCGCGGACAAAGGACCGUCAUCACAUGUGGUCCCUCCUCCGUAAUCUUCACCAGCGGGCUGAUAUGCCAUGGAUGGUGAUUGGAGACUUCAGCGAGGCCAUGUGGAGCUUCGAACACUUCUCCGAAACACCUCGUGCGGCAGGUCAGAUGAUUGAUUUUCGAGAUGUUUUGGAAAUUUGUGGCCUCGGUGAUCUCGGUUUUGCAGGGCUCCCGUACACAUACGAUAACCGAAGAAGUGGGAGGGCCAACGUCAAGGUCCGGCUGGACCGUGCCGUGGCUAACAAUACCUGGCGGGAUGCCUUUGCAGAUGCCAAGGUGGAGCACCUGGUGGCUCCAAGCUCGGACCACCUCGCCAUCCUCCUCAAGUGCGUCCAAGAGGAGGCCGUACCGGUGACUGGUAGGCGAUGCCGCCAAUACGAGGUGAUGUGGGAGAGAGACCCACCUCUCCCGGAGGUCAUCAUGAACACAUGGACGGAGCUGGGCUCUAUGCUACAUUUGGGUGAUAUUGCGGAUGGCCUGAAUAACAUGAUGAAGAGGCUUCAAGACUAUAGCCGCAAGAAAUUUGGUAAUGUGAUCAAAGAAAUUAAUAAAUCUCGUUCUCGCCUUGAGGAGGUCAUGUCUAUGAAUGCAGACCGCAAAGAGAUAAUGGAGGUCAACGAUCCUUUGAAUGAACUACUGUACCGUGAAGAAAUGUUGUGGAUGCAGAGAUCUCGCAUUGCUUGGCUGUGUGAGGGAGACCGAAACACACAGUUCUUUCACUAG